AACUGGUUAGCUCAGUUGGUAGAGCGCUCCAAUGGAAAUCGAGAUGUCCCGGGUUCGAUACCCGGACCAGGUG
rfam:Ixodes scapularis strain Wikel colony gcontig_1107728664412, whole genome shotgun sequence.